AGCUACAUUCACUUUUGCGCCUGCUUUUUGGAUGCUCCUCUACUCGGAAAAUGUCGCGGAGACACGUGAUAUUUUUGGCCAGGAACUAAUAGAAAAAUGACCAAAAAGAAGACCAAAAACCGCAUAUGUAAAUAGUUGUAUCAUACAUGUUGUAACUGUUGUGGCACUUUAAGCAUCCCUUAAUGUGAUGCUCUCGUGAAUGCAAACAAUGUAUAUUUUGUUCAAUAUAUAUGUAAAUUAAGUGUGUAUUGCUUAGCA